UCGCUGCCGGUGGAAGCAAAACUACAGGAGCCAGCGUGACACCAGCUGUCUGGCGCUAGAGAUGGAGGCGGGCGCGGCGGCGCCAGUGGCAUAGUUUGGCAUGGUAGCUGUGGUGGCGGCGGGCGUCAAGGUGGUGGGUCAGAGACGUUGUGCCCAGCAGACAUGCAAGUGGUUGCUGCCAGUGGCUAGUUGCACGUUCACAUGCAGACAUGACUAGGCGUAUUGUUGCAUGUACAUAUGGACUUGCGGUAGUGUUGCAUAAGUGUUGCAUGAGCAUCUGCACUUGUCGUGCUAUCAAGCCUUGACAGAUGGCUAGCAUGUGGAGUAGCGGUAGGACUACAUAGUUCUUACGUUAGUACUGAGGUAGGCCUUCAGCAAAGCACAAGGCUGCCAUGUAACGGGCGUCAAAGUGAUGGUUACUGGUGUGCCUUGUAGACCGUGACAAGGCUGUUACCAUGGCUGGUUAAGAUGGUAAGCAGAUCGUAGUGAGAUCGUAACGAUGCCGGAGGGGUAACGAUCUACGACCUAGGUAACAGCGAUCGUAACGAUCGUUUGGGUGCCAUAGGGCAUAUCACCUGCAUACACAGCACCACCGGCGUUGCAAGAGGCAUGGUGACAAGCCUUUCCCCGAGAUACAUGCUGUAUCUCACAUGCUGUAUACAUGCCCUGUCCGUUGAGCUGCCCACUGCACACAUGUCUUGGUG
rnacentral:lncRNA from 1 species